AUAAAGAGAUAUUAUUAUAAAUUAAAUGAAUGAUUGAUGCUGUCUGUUCACCAGGUUAUAAUAGUAAAAGGGAGUCGAACGAAUUGGAGGAAAACUACAGUCUCUCAAUUUGUUUAUCGCCCGGUAUUAGCAAGUAACUACAAAAGUGACAACCCUAUGGAUCUCCACUGCAGCUACGCGGAAAUGAACUCAUUCUUUGGACUCGCUGACUGACGGGCGAACUGACGGGCCCGUCAUUAUGCGGAGCGACCACUGUAUCCGGACCUGCAGUGCCCCUCGCUGCAUACAGAAAAUUGUGGCCCCGGGCAGAUUCAACGUGCAGUCAAAGGUCAACUUGCACUGGUACAGUUGUAUGUUUUGGAAAUUUUGUAGUUGACGAGGUAUGCGGUAAAUGUUAUUACGCAGGUAAUUAUUAAUUAUAUUGGUUCAUGUAAUGUUAACUUUGGUUCAUUGUAAAUUUACGCUUAAUAAUACGAAUGCGUUCAGGUUUUGUUCAUAAAGUCGAUAAGAUUUUAAUAAUUUUAAUGUGCACUGAACAUAAUGAAAAUAAAAGGUUAUGGUUGAAGUACAAAGUAACAUUACAAUGUUUGAGUCAACACUAUAUUAAACAGAAUGUUAUGAGAAUCACUACCACAAAAGGGGAAGAACAAUGAGCAUCUUCAAAAACCAAUACGAAGAAGUAAAUAUAAACUCAUACGGAGCAUACAGGUUUUGAUGGUAAUUCAAAUAUUCUAUUGUAUUCGAAUCAUAUCGCAUACAUCGGUACGCAGGGCUUGUAAACAUUUUUUCACGUCCACUCUAGGUGUAUUGAGGUGGCAAAAAGUGUAAAAAAUCUCGCAUGUAGGUAUGAAGACGCUGGCUUCAACAAAACCAACACGGGGCGGCCACAAAUUGGCGGUUCAGCGAGACGGGCACGUCGUGACCGAGCCGCCGCGCCGCCGCGCCGCGGGCGCAUCGCCGGCUGCGGACACGCCACGAGCGGAGCGGGCAGCGGACAGCUUGCAUCUGUGGAAUAAGGUGA